AGAGUUUGAUCCUGGCUCAGGAUGAACGCUAGCGGCAGGCUUAACACAUGCAAGUCGAGGGGUAACAGGGUGCUUGCACCGCUGACGACCGGCGCACGGGUGCGUAACGCGUAUACANNNNNNNNNNNNNNNNNNNNNNNNNNNNNGAAAGAGAGAUUAACACCGCAUAAAAUCACAGUCCGGCAUCGGAUAAUGAUCAAAUAUUUAUAGGAUUAAGAUGGGCAUGCGUCUGAUUAGUUAGUUGGUGAGGUAACGGCUCACCAAGACUACGAUGACUAGGGGGUCUGAGAGGAUGAUCCCCCACACUGGUACUGAGACACGGACCAGACUCCUACGGGAGGCAGCAGUGAGGAAUAUUGGGCAAUGGGCGCAAGCCUGACCCAGCCAUGCCGCGUGAAGGAUUGACGGCCCUCUGGGUUGUAAACUUCUUUUGUACGGGAAUAACCCUCCGAACGUGUUCGGAGCUGAAGGUACCGUAAGAAUAAGGAUCGGCUAACUCCGUGCCAGCAGCCGCGGUAAUACGGAGGAUCCAAGCGUUAUCCGGAUUUACUGGGUUUAAAGGGUGCGUAGGCGGAUUGAUAAGUCAGUGGUGAAAGCCUGCAGCUUAACUGCAGAACUGCCAUUGAUACUGCCAGUCUGGAGUAUGGUUGAGGUAGCUGGAAUGUGUCAUGUAGCGGUGAAAUGCUUAGAGAUGACACAGAACACCGACGGCGAAGGCAGGUUACCAACCCAUUACUGACGCUGAGGCACGAAAGCGUGGGGAUCAAACAGGAUUAGAUACCCUGGUAGUCCACGCCGUAAACGAUGAGUGCUAGGUGUCGGGGGUAUACAGUAAGCGUCUAAGCGAAAGCGUUAAGUAUUCCACCUGGGGAGUACGCCCGCAAGGGUGAAACUCAAAGGAAUUGACGGGGGCCCGCACAAGCGGAGGAGCAUGUGGUUUAAUUCGAUGAUACGCGAGGAACCUUACCCGGGCUUGAAAGUUACUGAAGUAUCCAGAGAUGGAUACGUCCGCAAGGACAGGAAACUAGGUGCUGCAUGGCUGUCGUCAGCUCGUGCCGUGAGGUGUUGGGUUAAGUCCCGCAACGAGCGCAACCCCUAUGUUUAGUUGCCAGCAUGUAAUGGUGGGGACUCUAAAGGAACUGCCUACGCAAACAGAGAGGAAGGAGGGGACGACGUCAAGUCAUCAUGGCCCUUACGUCCGGGGCUACACACGUGCUACAAUGGGCAGUACAGAGGGCAGCUACCUGGUAACAGGAUGCCAAUCUCAAAAAGCUGUUCACAGUUCGGAUUGAGGUCUGCAAUUCGACCUCAU
rnacentral:rRNA from 1 species